rnacentral:lncRNA from 1 species
GUUUCUUAGUCACCAGGUUGUCAUGGAAGAAGCUCUGUGUUAAUGUUCACCUUACCAGGCAUUGAUUCCUCCAUACUUCAAGGUUUUAUUACUUGGCUUCUGUGGACAGCUGCUAAGGAAGUAGAACCAGUUGAGUCAGACCCUUGUGCUUGAGCUACUUUGGAUCCCACAGCAGCAGGUGAGAAGGAGACCACACUGAAGUCUGGUCCUUACCACCCCCAGCUAAGGUGAGACAGCAUGCACCGUGACUGUAGUAGCAAACAGGCUUCCCAUGGAGCCACUGGCUGAGGACAGGGGUGGGAGGGAUACAGGCAAGACCGAGUAAAUAGUGGAUUAUGGGGCUUUGAGCGAGCUUCAUAAACCAGUCCAGUACAGCUUCCAGAGCAUUAGAAUUGAGUCUUUCAAACUAACUUAGCUUACCUGAACUGCCCCCCACUCUUCCACCCCAAUUGUUUUUUGCUCCUGUUCUCUACUUGUGGAACUCAACUCUAACCCGUGCAACCCAACCAGCUCCAAGGCAAUCCAGUCCCAGAACCUUAUCCCUGGCCUCACAAUUUGUUGCAGCACCAGGUGACCAAGGCGCCAAAACUUCUCUUAUUUCUUCAUUGUUUACAAGGUUCCCUUGGAUCAUUUCCCUCCCACCUAGAUCUCCAAGAGCACUGAGCAGCGGCUGCAUAUCCAUUAAAGAAAGAAAAUUAGAAAUUCU